CCCCGCCGUCACUUCCUGGGAGUAAAGGUGUGUGUGCUUCCCAGUACUGGGGUUAAAGGCGUGUGCCACCACUGCCUGGCUCUGUUUCCAGUGUGGCCUUGAACUCAAGUGGUGGGAUUAAGGAUGUAUGCCACUACUGUCUGCCCUCUAUGUCUAAUCUAGUGGCUGGCUCUGUCCUUUUAUCCUUAAGGCAAGUUUUAUUAGGGUACACUAUAUCACCACAGGUGAGCAGAGUAGAACAGUGCUUUCAAUACCACAGGAAGGGUUCGUGGGUGACAUUGGAGACAGUUACUGCUGAGACUCAUCUAACUCUCACAACACUCCUGUGAAGUGCUAUCAUUUCCCAGUGCAGUAGAGGAAACGGAGAAUUGCAGAUUCCUGUGGGGAGCCAGCACAGCUGCCCUCAGGCCAUGCUAGCCCUUCACUGUCCCUAAGAGUCUUAACUGUCUCCUGGGUGACAGAAACAUUUACUGAUAAUUCAAUUUCUUUGGUCAAAAAGGAUUGGGAGUAACCUUCAUUCAACCUUAAUCAAAUUAUUGAUAAUGUGGCCACAGAAGGACAGCUUUCCACUGCUGUGUGGAGAGUCUUCUAUCCACUCUGAAGGGUCAGCCAAACAGAGGUGCCGCAGAGAUGGACACAACCAGGCUGGAAGCAGGAAGUCAGAGAAGGGGUGGUGCUUCCUUCCACCCAAGGAUCUCCACAGCACCCCCUCCUUUCCUAGGAGCCCAGACAUGAGAAAUGAAGUCUAGUUAAAUCCUGAAUAGUUCAGGGCACAAAGUCAGUGGCCAGAGACCAAUGUGUUUUUAAGAUACAGUACAUGGAUAGGUGAAUGUAAAAUGCCUCAGAUAAACAUAGGUUACACAACCUAAAUUUUUGUUCUGUCUGUUUUUAAAUUUGCUUUUGGAGGAAACCAUCAAGAGUAGUACAUGUCAGAAAGUACUUCUGUGCUGGACUUAGUGGCACAGGCCUGUAAUGCCAACUACUCCUGAAACUGAAGCGGGAAGAUCCUAACCUGUCUGGUCUCCCACAGACAGGUGGACUUCGAAGAAAAAAGCAGAGUGGAGCAAAAACAAUAUCAAUUAUCCCGAUAAUUGUCAUGAGCCAAGGAAAGCCGAUUGCCUUUGCGAUGGCACCACCAGCAGAGGGACCUUUGGGGAAACAGAAAAUCAGCACUUUCUCCAAGUGUCUUAUUGUGAGAAAAUGUAAAGAUUUCUGUAUUUGUAGGAGGUUUUAUCUCUCCUGCAUUGAGGUAAAGGUUGUCUUACCAAUAGCAUACCCCAUACAAAAGGCCACAUCCGCAAUGGCAUAUACACUUCCAUAAACAGACACGUGCCGUAGGUCAACCAGGUAACCCAUGAUAGGCAUCAUGGAGGAAUCCACCAUCCCUGUAGAUAGUCAAGGAACAGUGUAUGGAAAAGUGGUAUGAAACAGAAGCAGGUUGAAUGUUGGAGACUGUGUCCUAAACUCAGUCCAUUGCCAGCUCUUCCCCUCUGCCAUUGCCACUUGCUCAUCUGUAACAGACCCCUGACAACAGACCUUUCAUUGUGGAUAGUAAGCAGUAGGGUUCAGAAAAGAGUGGAACUCAGGAUUCUGAGUCCUUAUUAGGUAAGCAUUUGUAGGCUGUCUGACCUCACCUUAUAAUCUCUUGUAAUGGGCCAUCUUUUGGGUAAGGGGAAGGUACCCAGUCCUCUGGCCACUCACCUAUUACUGUUCUCCAAGUGUAGGGUAUUACAGGCCACUGGAACCUGGCCUAUAGCUGAUGCCUCCCUGAUCCACUAUUUUUCCAAUCACUUUUCCCUUGCCAGUUAGCACACAUACAUAAUCAGUCAACCUCUUCCCCACUUUCCACCCACCUCCAACACCAGGCCUUAGACCAUGAGAGUUACCAAGCUGGAAAGUACUGAAAUACUAGUACUCAGUGGAGGGUGAGAGAGCAUCUCUUCCUGCUCACAAAACUAAAACCUGAAGAGCUUGGCUCCUUAGUUGGCUAAAACAACAAUUGAGACCAGCAUGACAAGCUGUGGCUUCUUGACUAGCAAAGGACAAGGCUUGGAAAGAUCACGUGUGUUCAGAGUUCCAGGUGCAAAUCCUAGCUUUGAGCAUGGUCAUACCUAGCUUCAGAACACUGCUUCCCCCUGUCUAAAUGGGGUGCUUUGAAAGUGGUUUUGGUGACUUGAGUGUAGUGAACUGAUGCCUGUGAACACAUGCUGAGGGGCUGGCGCACAGCAGCCGGUGGAUGAGAGAAAUAGUUUUCAUUUGUUUAGUAUUUGUGAUCAUCUGAUGUGCACAGCCUGCUGCAGAGAGAGUGGAGCAAAACCUGAGAGGUGGAUAUUAAGCACAGAGCUAAAGAAUGAAUUACAGCGGGACUGGUGUGGAGGUCCCCCAGGAGGCAUAAGAUGCCAGGGCUGCCCAACCUCCUGUAGAGGGUCAGAAGAUAUCCCGUUCAUUCUUUCUGCUAUACCACUCCAAGACCAAAUUCCUGACACUACUGCGUAACAGAUUUGGCCUUUACUUUCAUCAUGUUAAUCAGUAUUUUAUAAGUGAGAAACAAAAGCAUACCAUUAGUCCAGACUUUCCCUAAUGUUUUAUUUUCCUUUGCCUCUGAAAAUCCCUGCGGUGCACAGCAUGGUACCUCACCAGCCUGUAUUUUCUUUACCAAGCCUCAUAAGAAAAGCACAUGGGAAGUCUGUCCCUAGUCGCAUUUGGGAAGGUUGCUCUUAGAUGUGAACUAAAUUGAAUGUGCUACAGAUAAGGAAGCGUUAGUUUGCUGGAGUACGGCAGUGAAGCACCAGUCUGCUUCUGCCAACACCACCUGACUUUCAACAAGCAUCUUCGUGGAUCUAGACUAUGGGUUGUCCCUGAGCUAAUCUCAUUGCGCCCUCCACUUCAGCUUCGGGAAAUCUGAGCUUUGGUACCUAUCUAUAGGCUGUACACUCCUCAAGAAGAGAAUCUCCGCUAGAGAGACUGCAGCUCCAAAUUGAGGCACACGGCCCAUGUGACUUACCAAUUGCAAAACCAACUCCAAAGUUGGGAGCGAUGAGUCCAUAGAUAUUUUUUGCAAAAGGAAUCUGUAAGAGGAAGUUAAUAUGCUAAAAUAAAAGAUAUUGACUCUAAUAAAUCAUCUUCAAAAGAAAGCCUAAAAAUAUCUUUUAUCUGGGCCUAAUGGACCUGUUCCCUUUUGAAAGAAAUGAGAGCAGAGAAAGAAAGGGGGUUGCCAUCCUAAUCUUUAAAAUCCAAAGCCCAGAUUGAGGGUGUAGUUUAGUGGUAAAGUGUUUGCCUACCAUGCAUGACACCCUGGGUUCAAUCUCCAGUGCAACCAAUCAAUAGAUGUAUGUCAAAGCCUGAAAUGUAAAUUCUGACUACUGUGAAAACUUAAUUACAUGGCUCCUUAGAAAGAUGGCUUCAUCCACUCUCUUGACAAAGAGAAGAUGACCAUAUUUGGGGAGAUAUUGGCCACUAAAAUAUGUUUAUUCUAGAGUAACAUCUUGCUAUUGUUCAGAGAGUAGCUGCCAUAAAGUAUUUGAGACACUUGUCAUGUUUAGUGGUUCAUGCCUGUAACCUCGCAUUUGCAAGAGUGAGGCAAAGAGGAUUGUCGUCAGUUCUAGGCUGGCCUGGGUUACAUAAUGAGACCUUAAGAAAACUACAAAAAAAAUCACAAAAUUAAAAAAAAAAUAGAAAAAUAACUUGGUAAACUACAUAAUAAAUUUGCUUAAAUAACAUCUGAUCUAAAGUUAAAUGAUAUGCCCACUUGAGUCUUUCCAGAAAUGUUUGAAGUGACUUUUAAAAAUUGAAAAAAAUAAAUGAAAAACAUAAUAAAACCAAAUAUUAGCAAACUCAAACUGUUAUAAAAUGUUGCCUGGUGAGUCUCACCCAAAACAAGAGUUUCAGUCCCAUAUGUUCCCACUCCCCCAACUGCCUGUCAAAUUCAAUCUUUCACUCACACAUAAAAUGCUGAUUCCAACAAUUAUCAUUCCCAGAAGAGCACAAAGCCACCUAUCAAAAGAAAAAGCACAUCAAUAAAUGAACACUUAGGGUGUUUUUCCUAAGACACAUCUUCAGUGAAAAUCAUAGCAGUUAUUUGUAAUAGCUAAGACAGAAACACUGAAUUUCUUCAAAGAACCACAUUAUAUCAAAACAAUAGAAUGAAUGCUUUCAUUUAAUCUUACCUUCCCAUUUUGUGUGCCAGUAUCCCAAAAAUAUUGGUUCCAAUGAGAUAAGAGAUACUUGCUGGCAAGAAAACAAUGCCUGUGGAUUUAUGAAAAGGAUACCUUAUCAGCUCUUCUACAAGUCACAUGUCAGAAAAACUAAUAAUCACAGACACUGAAGCGAUGGUUCGAGAAGAUGAGAUGAAGUCUGGGGCCUGCACCCAUGCAGCUAAUAUCCGGUUUCAGUCUGGACCCCACAUGGCUUAUCCAUUCCAGAAAGCUGCCGAGACACUUCAGAAAUGGAAACCAUUUCUCUAUCAGUGGCUACAUCUCACUUCUGAGUCUGGUGACAGCAUUACUUGUGGACCGACAGAGACAAUCCCCAGCGGUGGGAGUCCAGUAAUGGCCACCCAUGUGGUCUGGGCAUUUGCAUAUGUGUUCUCACCUCUGAAAUUCUUACAAAAGGCACAGCCAUUGAAGAAUUCGGGCAACUAGGAACAAGUGAAAAGGAAGCAGUGGACACCAGCCAAAGCCCACAGUUAUUUUCCCUUGUAACUUUACACACAUGUCUGUGUGCACACAAGGCUUUGUCACACAAAGAGGACUAUGUAACAUCUACUGCUCCAUGCCCUGUUUUUCUCAAUUAACUGUGAACAUCUUCCUAUCUUAAAAAAAUAAAAUAAAAACUAAAAACAAAAAA